rnacentral:lncRNA from 1 species
CCUGCGCCGGCGGGGCGCGGAAGGCCGACUGCGCCUCUGGGAACGGCGAAGCGCGAAGAUCCGAGCGGAAGACCGCGGCGCGGCUCGCCCGCCCCUCCCCCCUUCCUGAGCCCCUGCGCCGCCCGGGCCUGCAGGAGGCGGGCGAAGACGUGUUCCCCGCCCCCUUGCUUACCUGAACUGUUCCACCGGCAGCCAUCUUGAGCGCCCGAGGCGGGGGAGGGGGAAGGAGGAGAAGGUGUGCGAGGCGGAGCUCGAGCCCAGGCGAGGGGAGUCGAGAAGCCGAGCGCAUCGAUCGUGCUCACCUAAGCUAGGGGAGCGUGUGCCGGGGCAGAGGGACAGGGAUGAUAAUAGAAUCACCGGACCUCAUCCAACAGGAAUCCUUUCAGCUUUAUCUCCCCCCUCCAAAAAAAAAUACUAAAGCAGCCGUCUACUGAAGACUCCUUCCCUCCUCCUCCGGAAGAAGCCCGUUCACAAUCAAGCAGGAAGCAUUUAUUAAGCGCCUACUGUGUGCCCAGCGCUGUGCUAAUCGCCCAAGGGCAAGAGGGUCCCUGCGCUCUGGGAACUCAAGGUGUUAUCCACAAAACAAAUGUCUGUAUUAUCAUAGUGCAUAUAGAGUUGAAUAUCUGAUGGGGGAGAAAACACGCAAACAACUAUGCACAAAGAAGAUAUGUACAAGCCAGUGCAAGGAAAGUGGGGAGAGAGAGAGAGAUGGACAGGCAGGUACAUAGAUGGAAAUAGGUAGAUGUGGACAUAGAUAUAGAUCGGUAGAAACAGAGAUGGACAGGUAGGUAGGUAGACAGGUACAUAGGUAGAGACACAGAUAAAAAUAGACAAUAGAGAUAGAAAGAAAGAACUAUUAAGUGCUUGCCACGUUCCAGGCAUCAUACUAGUUUUAUCUCAACAUGAAACUGCCUUUGGCUUCUCAGGCACCUUACAAAACUGCUCCCAGUUCUGCCCUCAGGGGCCAAGCUGGAUGAAUCUAAUCCCAUAUGAUUCCACAUGACAGCCUUUCAAUAUUUGAAUACAGCUGUCCUAUGCCCCCCUAAAUCUUCUCUUUUUUUCAUUCUUGCACUACUCACUUGACUUUUGGUAGGAAACUGUUUCCUAAACUUAAAAGGGCUUGGGGUUACUGGAGAGAAUAGGAAUGCCAUAUCAUCAUUACCUCUUUUAUAGGACUUAGAGCUGAAAAAGUCCAUAAAGAUCAUCAAGGCCAGACGUUUUUUUUUGGUAGUGAAUCUUUUUGUCAGUCUGAUAAAACCUAUGGACUUUCUCACAAUAAUGUUUUUAAAUGCAUAAAAUAAAAUAAAAUAAAAUAAAAAAUGCA